UAAGCAUUUGGCUGGUUAAGCUUUUAGGUUUUGAGCAGCACAGUUCAGCUGAGAGCCAUUCGGAUAUGAGGACACAGAGGCUUCCAGUCUGAGAAAACAAGACCAGCUGAGGAUCUGGCGAGAAGAUGGCGAUGAACAAUGUGGCUAGAUGGAGCACUGGCGUUUUGUUCGAUCACUCCAGCAGCACCACUCACUCAGUGUUGAACUCAUGUUGAAAUGUCAUCUCCAAUGCACCAGAGUUGGGAAGUGGGGCCAACUGGGAGGUGUUGUCACAGCUCUGGCCCUGUGAAUAGAAUCACGCUGCUCUACCAAGGGCUUCUGGGAGUGGGCUACCGCUUGCAUUCUUCUGCCAUAUGAGAAACACCACUCAUCCUCUCUGGAGGUCACAGUGGUCAAGGCACCAUCUUGAAGCAGAGACUACACCCUUAUCAGCUCGUAACUCUGCUAGUCACACUGAAAAAGAAGCCUUGAAAGCAGAUGUCCUGGGAAUCGCAGAGGAAACGAGACUCUGGGACUCAGAGAGUCGGCCAUGAAAUGCUGCCCAGUCUUCACCCCAUUUCCCCUUUCCAAUCUUCUUUACUCUUGUCUUCCAUGGAGGAAGGAAGGAUGGAAGCCCUGAGCUGCUGCUCUAGCACCGUGCCUGCCUGCCACUGCCGUGCUCCCUACCAUGAUGGCCAUGGACACACCCCAGGAAACUGUUAUAGUCCAUCAUUGGGGAAACCAGGAAGGAAUGCAGGGCCGGAACCUGGAGGCAAGAACUGAGGCAACCGACCAUGGAGGAGUGCUGCUUACUGGCUUGUUCCCUAUGGCUUGUUCAUCUUGCUUUCUGAUCCAGGCCAGGACCACCUGUCCAGACAAGAAACCACUACAGGAACCAUGACUAUGCCUAACAGCAACUUUGAAAUCUUCAAAAAGAAGACAGGACUCCACAAAGAUGAUUCCACAUGGACUAUGAUAAAGCCAUUAAGCUGGUUAACACCAAGGAAAGAUCUACGUUGGACUACAAACUGGUCAGGACAAUUUCGAGAUGACUAGCUGAGACGAUCCAGCCUGACAGACUACUCGAGCAAGGACUUGUGACAAGCCCUGAACUUUCUUUUUAUGCAGAGAACUGAACAAAUGAUACAGGACUUGACAAUUAACCCAAAAAUUUUCUUUUCAAGAUUCCCUAAAGAUAUCUUCACUCCUAGAAAGCAAAAAGAAGAAGAGAAUAAGAUAUGAGAUAGAUCAUUGAAUCUACUCUGAGAAAAAAGAUAAAGAAAUAAUAGGAUAAAUAGGUAGAUCACUGAAUCUACACUGAAGAAAAAGGGGAAGAUAUAAAAAUGACAAAAGGUAGACUACUGAAUGUAUUAUGGAAAGAAAAAAGAGGAUAUGGGUAUGAUAAGAUAAAAAGGGAGAUUAUGGAAUCUGCUUUUAAAAAAGGAACUACUUGUUUUAAAUAAGAUAAGUAAUGAAAAUUUUUUGGUCUGAGUUUAUCAGAUGUUACUGGACUGAACAUUGUUAAUAUGUAUAAUGGAGUUUUUUAUCUGAAUCUGUCAAAUGUUAAUGGACUAGAUAUCAUUAAUGUAAUUUUUGGCUGUAUAUAUUGUAUAUACUUAUUGGAUAGUUUUUCUUGUAUUAGUUAUAAGUCUUUUUUAAUUUUAGACAAAAAAGAGGAAAUGUGGUGGUAUUGUGUUCCCCAAAAUAUUGUGUACCUUAAUAAACUUAUCUGGGGUCAGAGAACAGAAAAGCCACAAGAUACUUAGGCUAGAAAAUGUUAGCACAUGCCUUUAAUCCUAGCAUUCCAGAGACAGAAAUCCCUCUGGAUCUCUGUGAGUUCAAAGCCACAUUGGAAACAGCUAGGCAUGGUGACUCACACCUUUAAUCCCAGAAAGCAGCCUUUAAUCCCAGGGGAGUGGUGGUAGAAAGCAGAAAGGUUUAUAAGGCGUGAGGACUAGAAACUAGAAGCAUUUGGCUGGUUAAGCAAGCAUUCAGGCUUUUGAACAGCAAUUCAGCUGAGACCCAUUCUGGAUGAAGACUCAGAGGCUUCCAGUCUGAGGUACAAGACCAGCUGAAGAUCUGGCGAGGUGAGGUAGCUGUGGCUUGUUCUGUCUCUCUGAUCUACCAGCAUUCACCCCAAUAACUGGCCUCAGGUUUGAUUUUAUUAAUAAGAACUUUUAAGAUUCAUGCUACAAUACCUCUAACCCCAGCACUGGGGAGUGGAGGCAUCAGAAUCGGGAGUUCAAGGUCAUCCUUGACUAAAUAGUGGGUUUGCAUACAGGUUUGAGCUACAUGAGACCUUGUUUCAAAAAAUAAGCAGGCAAGCGAACAAAAAUUCUUCUUAUAAGAUCAAACCCUUGACUCAACAUGAAUUACAGGCCCAUGAUUGUGACUAUGUAAAUAUCAUUUGAAGCAAUUUCAGUCUUGAAAAUCAAUCAUAUAAAAUAUCACAAACAUUAUUAUAGGUAUUUGGAGAACAAAACAAAUGUUAGAAGCUUUGACAAUAUAAAAUCUAAAUAAAACAACAGCAAAUGUUACUGAGUAGAGGGAUGAAAAGAUUUAGAAGUAAUUUCAAAGUUAUUAUCCAUUCUUCCAAAUUGUAAAUUUUUACAUUAUUUUGGUAUGUGUAUGUAUUUGUACUUGUUAGUGUAGGUGUGUGUAUCUGUGCAUAUGAGCAUGCACAUGUGCUCAUGAGGAGGCCAGAGAUAGGAAACAUUUUUCUUCUAUGACUGUCCAUCCUUACUUUUUGAGAUGAGGCUUCUCACUGAACUUGCACCCUGAUUCAGCUAGGCAGCUUAGCUAGUGAGCUGCAGGAGUCCAGUAGCUCUGGGCCUUAAUGCUCGGGGUUACUGACCACUGUGCCCAGUUUCUUACACAGACACUGGUGAUCUGAACUCAGUUCCUCAUGUGUGCAGAACAAAAACUUUAUCUACUGAGCCAUCAUUCUCAACCUGACUUUCAUAUUUUGAGCUGGUUUAUAAGAAUUGUCCAGAGUUAAGGGUACAAUGUGGUGUUCUGACAUGAGCAAUGUGAUGCAUGAUAAUCUAAUUAGCUUAUCCAUCACCUCAAUCAUCUACGCAUUUCUGGGGUGAAAACAAUCAGAAUCACUUCUAAAGUAUUAGUUAGAGCUGGAAAACCUCAAAACACAAAUCCUGAUACAUAUCUUUCAUAGCUGACAAGCUAAUGACCAGAAGGAAUGAAGUAAUAGUAUAAUUGACAAGACUGAAGUAAAGCAGCAGUAGGGGAUUGUAAGAUGAAUUGCUAAAUAGUCCCUUAUUAAUAAAAAACCCGGAGCCAGAUAUGGGGGUGCAAACCGAGAGACCAGAGGAAUAGGACAAGCCACAGCCAACCUCACCUCACCGACUCCUCAGGCUCCAGAGAGACCUCCUUCCUGUAUACCCACGCCUAUAUGCCUUUCUGUCCCUGCCAUCUCACUUCCUCUCUCUGCCCAGCUACAUCAAUUCCUCUUUCUGCCCAGCUCUGUCACUUCCUGUCUGUCUAUACAGACCUCCAUACCUUCAUGGUUAGUGCUGGGAUUAAAGGCAAUGGUAAUUGCCUGACUUCUAUUGUUUACUGUAGUGGCUGGCUUUUUCCCAUGAUCCUCAGAUAAGCUUUGUUGGGGUACACAGAUAAAAUAUCACCACUGGGGAUUUACAAGAGGGUAAUGAUUUCUUCAUUAUUUUAUUUUAUACAGAAGAUUGGGGCUGUCUAGAAUUAAUAACUCAGGCAAGGAGAGAUGGUUUGGUGGUCAAAAAUACCAGCUGUUCUUCUACAGGACCCAGGUUUCCAGCACCCCCGUGGCAGCUCACAGCUACCUGUAACUCCAGUUACAGGCCAUCCAAUACACCUUCUUCUACUGUCCUCGCCAAUACCAGGCAUCCUGGUGGUGGACAGGACACAUGCAGGCAAAACAACCACAUAAAAUGUAAAUUAUUAUUUAAAAUUGAUAACUUGAGAAGUAAAAUCAUUAAAACUCUAAUAAGAAUGUUGUGGUUACUGAGGUGGGCAAGACUGUUGCUUCCACAAUUUCAGUUUGUAGAGUCUUUAGAACCUAUGUAUCAUCCCCCCAACACAAAUGUUGAGACACUGUUUAGAGAAUAUUGUAAAAGAGACUCAAACCACAUUAGUUUGCUGGCUCUAAAUGAAGUCCCUGUCUCAGCCCUGAAUUCCCUACGAUUAAUAACAACUUAGCAAUGCUCAGGAUUUGGGAGAAUAAAUAACCCUGUCAUUUUCUACCCCCAAGCUGUGGCUUCAUAUUAGACAGCCAUGCUAAUUCUGCUUGUAAUCCCCAGGAAGUGUGGGGACUUGUGUAAUCCUUCAUCGCUAAGCCUGUUUCAUCUCCGCUGAACGCAGAAGGAUCAACUUUUAAAAAUUGCCAGUGGGGGUAAGGAGAUGAAAAAACAAUAAGGAAUGACAAGGUGUGUUGGGAGAUGAAAAGGAAUAACAGUGAUUAGGUUAAAAUAAUUAGAUAUUUAUUCUACUCACUUAUCUCACAGGGAUCAACAUUUCACCUGCAAUAAUGGGAAUUUCAUAUAUCUCCAAAUUACUUUAUGAAAGCCUCGUUUGAACCUAAAGUACAUCCGAUCCUAAAAUAUUCAGUAAUGUUCCAAAUCAAGAAUUUAUGAAUUCAGCAUCUUACUGCAGGGCCGAGGCUCUGCUUUUGAACCUUCUUUACUCCUCAAGAGAGGGGUAGAGCACAGAAUUCGGGGGACUUUUGAAAUCGGCAAGUGAGUUGGUGAGAUAGGCCCCAGCUGGUUCUACAGGUUGGGUUCUUGAUGUGCAGAUGUCUCCAAAGUCCUGUUCCCUAGGAGCAGUGAUGAAGCUGGAGUGUAUGAUGGAUGAGACGGUCCAAUUCAGUUCUCUCUGUUUAUGUGUGUUAUUUACCUCCUGUGCCAUCUGUAUUUCCACUGCACAUUACCAUCAGAACAUUCCUUUUUCUGGGAAUGGGGGGAACGGAUAGCAAGAAAGGGAGUUGGAAUGAGAAAGAAGGCUGGAUAUUAAGUGUACAUAUCUGGCAGUCAUAUUAUUGCUUUGAAAUAGAAAAUUGUUCUUUGAAAUAUCAGAGCUAAAUCUUUUUUCUUUUACUGCGUUUUAUUGAAAAAUUCAUACAAUAAAAAAACCCUUCAGUUUCA